UACGGAGGAUCCGAGCGUUAUCCGGAUUUAUUGGGUUUAAAGGGUGCGUAGGCGGGCAUUUAAGCCGGCGGUCAAAUGUCGGGGCUCAACCCCGGCCUGCCGUCGGAACUGGGUGCCUUGAGUGGGCGAGAAGUAUGCGGAAUGCGUGGUGUAGCGGUGAAAUGCAUAGAUAUCACGCAGAACCCCGAUUGCGAAGGCGGCCGCCUGGCCUGUUGCUGACGCUGAGGCACGAAAGCGUGGGGAGCAAAUAGG
rnacentral:rRNA from 1 species